rnacentral:rRNA from 1 species
AGGACGAACGCUGGCGGCGUGCUUAACACAUGCAAGUGGAGCGACGAACCAGGCUUCGGCCUGGGGCAGAGCCGCGAACGGGUGAGUAACACGUGGGUAACGUGCCCCGAUGAUUGGGACAACCCGAGGAAACUCGGGCUAAUACCAAAUGUGCCCUCCGGCCAUAAGGCCGCUGGGGAAAGGAAGCUUCGGCCUCCGCAUCGGGAUCGGCCCGCGGCCCAUUAGCUUGUUGGUGAGGUAACGGCUCACCAAGGCUACGAUGGGUAGCUGGUCUGAGAGGACGAUCAGCCACACUGGGACUGAGACACGGCCCAGACUCCUACGGGAGGCAGCAGUGGGGAAUAUUGCACAAUGGGGGAAACCCUGAUGCAGCGACGCCGCGUGCGGGAUGAAGGCCUUCGGGUUGUAACCGCUUUCAGCAGGGGCGAAUUCAGACGGUACCUGCAGAAGAGCGCCGGCUAACUACGUGCCAGCAGCCGCGGU